CUGUUGUUUUUGGUAUGUGUGUGUAGUUACAGAGGGACAUACUUUCUCCUGUGGAAACAAUCAUAGGUGGCUGGAAGAACAGAAAAACUCAGCUCUCAGCAAAAGCAGCAAUAUGUAGAGAUUAUGUUGUUUGAAGAGAAAAUGACUAAAACUGCAUUUAGUCAGAAGAAAGGGAAAAGUAUACCACUUGUUUUGGAGUUCAGUCUGUUGGACCUUGUACUUCUUGCUCUCAAAAGAGGUUCAGCAAAUUCCUGUAAUCCUCAAGAGGUGUGCAUGUGAGAAUAAGGUGGACCAUAAAAACAGAUAACAGACCCAUAUGAGAGAGGAAAAGAAAAUGGAUGGAUGCCAGGAUUAUUUACAAGCAGUCUAAUCCCCCUAACAACUCUCCCAAACCAUUCAUCUGGUUCAGAAUAUGAAGGAUACUCAAUUAUUCAAUGAAAAGGUUAAGUCUGUGGUAAAUAUGCAUAGUCAGUAAUGAAGUGUACUUCCCCUGGGUAUUUUUAAAAGGAUGCAGACUGACAGUUGUUUACCACAUCCUUUCUGGAUAUGUUUUCUGAGGUUUUUGUUUGCGACACUGCUUAUGCUUAUUCUCAAAAUGCAGCUCCUUGGCUGCUUUGCUUUAUUGAAAUUGUAACUGGGUGACAGUGAAGUAAGUCAGCCAUGAAAAUGUAUGUGUAUCCAAACCAAGGCAAUAAUUCCCACAACAUUUUUGUGUUAACCCUGAGUACCCUGCUACAUGGAAGUGUCAGCGUACAGCCCACCUAACUUUUCUAGAUCCAGGCUUGCAUCCAUCUUUCCAUCUGUCCAUCUGUCUCUUUGCUUUGCUUUUCAUUUUUUCUGCUAUAUAUUCGUCUGUAUUUUGCUGAUAGCCAUCGGUAUGUGUUACACACAUACAAAGGAACUUAUAACUAUGUCACUGUUGGUAUUUUUUUGGCUUUGGUGCUUAGAUUCAAGCUGUUUUGUAUCUUUAGUAGUGGCUGCAGGUUUGUUCUGUUAAUGAAAACUUUUGCAGAAAAACUAGGAUUGCAAACUGAUAAAUUACUUGACUAAAGACAGCCCCUACCUUUAACCAACGUUAUUUCCAGCAAUGUCUUGCCUUGAGUGUUAAUUUCUAGUGAGUCAAUGCAAAGAUAUCAUAUUAUGUUCUUGGAGAGGCCACACACAUGUUGCAUUGCACGAUGGAGCUUUGUGCACAGCAUCCAUUUAGCACUGGGGUCUCCACCGGGGAAAAACACAAAGUUCCAGUGCCCUCUUAGCCCUGGGAAGGGACCCUGCAGAAACCAGCUCUGACAGUCAGAGCAUUGCUCUGAGCUCUCAGUCAAGAGCUAACAGAGAUUUUGUAAAUGUCAAUCCUUUUCCUCUGCUCAGGGGGCAUAUGGAGGCCAGUGGGAAUAACUAUAUUUCCUGCAUUUGCAGCCAAAGGCCAGGUGUCCAUGGACUUUUCUCCAGGCUGUGGGGCUGGCUUGAGCAUAUCCCAGUUGCUUCCUUCUCCUUGGUGGUCCUAAACUGCUCCCUUCCUCCCUCCUAGGUAGUCUAACAGUCAUGGCAGCAUACAUUUGACUGGCUUGGGAGCUAGCCCUAUUGUGGAAUCAUUUAGGUAAAAAUGUGGCCAAAAAAAAAAAAAUUUUUUUGAAUAAAAAAAAAAAGCAAAAAAAAAAAAAAAAGGAAUGCAAUCAGUUUCCUGAACUGUGGCCUGAGAACUGAAUUUUAUUUUAGAUCAGUUUCCCCAUGAAUAGGAAGGUCACAGAAUAUUAUCUAGAAUAAAAUGGUUAAAAUUAAUACCUUGACUGAGUUGUGGUCAUAGGGAUUGAUCAGGGAUAGGAAGGACAGACUUAAUGAGGAACACAAUGUCAGGUAUAUUUGUAUAACAGUCAAAUGUUCCUUGUCUCUAAUUCAUCUCUUUAAAGGAAAGGACAAUGAGAGUGUGCAUUAUAAGAGCAUGAAAUGCCUUGAAAGAAAAAGGGCUGAAAUAUGACAUAAAGAAGUCUCUUGGAGCUAAUCUAAGUGUAGACAGAAAUAACUAAGUUUUUGUUUCUUUUCACUGGCAUUUAAAGCUCUUGUAAAUGUUUUCUGCAUUUGGAUUAUGAAAGUACACUUAUUUUUCACUGCAUCCUGGGUUUAUGUUAAUGCUGUUUUCCAAGGGAUAAAUACAAUUAUUUUAACAUUAUUCUAUUAAAUAUAAAAUAUAAAAAAAUAUAAAAUAUUAUUUUAAUAAAUACCAUCCUCAUUUUUUAAAACUGGACCCCUGGACUACUUGAAUGCUACCCAGUGCUAUGAUUUUUAAACAUAAAAUGAAAUGCAGCAUUACUCCACCGACCUGCACGGGAACUGGUAACGCAGAGACCUGUGUGUUACAGAUAUCUUUGGGUGACUAGUGUGAGGCAGGAACACCCUGACAGGGUGCUUCCCAGAACAGGACACUGGGAAGGGUGGCCAAACCCAAGGGCUCUCAUGGCGCCCUAGGUUCAAAUAAGACCCUACAUCUGGUCUCAUGGACUGAGAGUAAAUGUUCACUAUUGUGCCUGAGUUUGUGGGAAUGGAUGUGAGCCGCCUUAAUCUGUGAGCCAGAAAUCCAUCACAAGAAAGAAAAGCAAUAUGAAGAAUUUUGUAAUUAAUUCAAAUAAGUCCACAUUCAAUGGGUUGGGAAAGUUGAGUGGUUUAAGAAAACUUAAAAGAGCCUUCAUUUAAAUAACACCUCAUUUGCUAUCUUAACAUUUACAAAUAUUUGCUUUGGGGGAUGGUCACCAAGGUCAGGUUUCUUCUAUUGCACGCUAACAAACUGAGAUGCUUUUAAUACUUAUUAAUUUCCCAUACAAAGAGUAACAGUACAAUUAGAAAGUCAUGUCAAAAUGUUGCUGACUUUU